GUACUCACAGGCCAGUGCCAUCAACAUCCAAAACAUACAACCACUGGGCCCUGUGGUCUUUUUCUCAGAAAACCAUCAUGUACGUCCUUGGUACUUAUUUAACAACUCAAGAAGAGGAAAAAAGUGGGGAUAAAAUAUCCUAGACUCACUGUGAAAGUACCACUUCUCCCAGCUCCCAGCUGUUGUUUAGGGAAAAAAAAAAAAUUCCUGUGAAAGAACUGACUCCCACGGGCCCUGCUUGGAUCACAUUGGCUGUGGAACGAGGAUGGAACAUGACGGUGCUCCUCCCCGCAGAGCAGUCACUGUUGUCAGAAGUGUGGGUGCCUGUCACAAAAUGGCAGCCCUUCCUGCAUGAACGGUAAAGAGGGAGGGAGAAGCAUUUCCUCAACAGAAAUUGAGUCCUUUUACCAACAAAAAUGAGAGGUGCUCAGAAAAUAAAAAAUAAGUCCACUUCAAUACUUUUUUAUAUUUUUUAAAUUCUGCACAAUGCUAUAACCUAUUGUGGAGAUUAAUAAAUACCAAUAUGUUGUUCACUCCUAUAUGUGUAAGAUUAUUUUCUAUACAUCGCAUCUGAGUCAGCACUUUGAUAAGCUCUUUGUAAUUUUACCAUCUAGUAGCAAAUUUAUUUUGCUUCAAUAGGAUACAUUAUCAAAAUACUGUACACCCCAGAGUCAUAGAUACCCUCUCUUUUUUCACUGUGUUAAAUAAUGAUACACAAUGCAAUUUAUCUGUGGUGAGUGUUAGAAUAUGAAAGCUGUAUUUGUUUUCACUAUGUAAAGUGAAUGAUAAUAUCUCAGAAGCUGAUUUAUUUCCUUCUUUUCUGUCCACAAUGAUCUUACUGUGUCAUUUCAGCUUAAAAAUAGGGAUAUUGAGACACCAGCUACUUUACUCUAGAAAAUAGUUCUUUCCAUGAACCAACAAUUUUACUUAAAACAGGAGAGAGACAGAAAAUAAAGGAACAUUUCUCAGGGCCACCUAAACCAAAUAAACAAACAAGAAUCCAAAAAACCACGCAAGUUUUGACAACAUUGCAAGAUUUCUUUGUUAAGGUAUAAGAUACAGAACUUCCUAGGAAAAUAACAGUAUCAAUUAAAGCAUGAAUUCUCAUCUCAUAAUUAGGGUUGUCACUGGUUUUGUCAUAUUAUUGACACAAAAAUGCAUCAUCCUCAUUCUCAAUUAAAUUUGCUGUGUAACUUAUGCAAAGCAAAUGCUAUGAACUGGACUAAAAUGUUGUGGAUCAUAUGUAGCAGACAGUUUUUUUCAUUUUGUUUUGUUUUAUGGGUUUUUCACUUUAAAGGAAUCUAACAGAUUUUAGAAAAAAAUCUCCUUUUAGAAAGUCAUGCAUCAGGGGCUUAAGCAGCAAUUUCUGCUGUGACAUAAUGUUUUUUUUGACAAAGAAAGUACUUGUGAAAAAUGCAAGAUACAAAAGCAACUAUUCUAAGUGUUUUAAAGGGAGCAAGGGAGACCUGACUUUCAUCAGUCAAUAAUACAUCUGACAUAAAUAAUGAUUGAAAACUGACAACUACAAGAUGAGAUCUAGAUGCUUCAAAUUCCUGAAAAUGAAAAGGUGCAAAAUAUCAAUUUUACAUUUUACAGUAAUUUUGCUAUAAUGCAGUUGAACUUCUACUCAUUGCCACAAGUGUUAUAUUAAUUGUAUUAGUCAUUGAUUGAGUCAUAUCAUGAUAACAUCUUUAAUUGAAUACUUAUUUUCAUUGUAUAGCUAUAGGUCUGCCUCAAAAUUGAGUUUGAUUUGGCACUAUAGAAGAAUAGAUUUAAUCUUUCAUCUUCCACCUGUCUUUUAUGAGUAAUUCUAUUUUUUAAAAUACACAAAGAGAAAAAGAAAAGAAAGAACAUGAGAUUAAGUAAUGAUGUAGAGUUUUAACUAGUCAUGGUCUUCAAAAACAGUGAAGAUUAAUUUGGGAAGAUGUGACUUUCCUGAAAUCCUGCAGAAAGGUGGAACGCUUUCAUAAAGCCACGGAGAAAUGUCUGUUCCAAAUGGCUCCAGUAAAAUCAGGCUAUCACAAAAUAUUUUCUUCAAAAGAGUUACACUCUGCUCUGGGACUUCAAAACUUCCAUGUGUACACACUGGCUGCGUGGUUCUGUGCAGACUCUGGGCUGUCGCACUCCAUCUCAUCUUUAAAGGACAAGAGAGAGGUAGGAAUGGGUGGAGAUGGUGCUUCCUUUCACGUGCUCACUCUGCUCACCCAGUCCCCUAAAAGCCAACACUUGAGUGGUUCCAUUAUCACAAAGCUGUGAUUGUAUGCUGAGAUUUCAUUCUCACCUUAGAAAUAGACUACAUAUGUCCAAGCCUUUCCGAUGUGGGCUGUACUGUGGUAACACGAAGCACAAGUUCCAAUACCUGUGUGUUGUUGUACACUCACUUGAACGUCUUUGCUUUAUCAAAAGUACUGCCAUCCACAACAGACUGGCUAGAUGCUUUUACCAAAUCCGUUUGUCCUUUGUGAGUUCACAACUCCACUUCCUUUCCCAGCUUUUCUUUAGGAGUCGCCAUAUGACUGAGUUCUAGCCAAUAAAAUAUGGAUAAGUAAUGAAUGUGACUUCCAUAUUUGGUUCAUAACAACUUUCACGCCCAACCCACCAUUCUUCUUCUUCAUCUGCUGGCUGAAUGGAGAGGUCUCUGAGAACAUAGAGGAAGUAGAGGCAAGAUACGGGUUAGGACCUAGUUGAAUCUAUGAAUGAACAUGUGGAACACUGCCCAAAUGCUCUGUACAUGAGAAGUCAGCUAUUACUAUGUUAAAUAAUUGAGAUUUGGGGGCCAGCCCCAGUGACCUAGUGGUUAAGUUCAGCGUGUUCCGCUUCGGCAGCCAGCCCCAGUGACCUAGUGGUUAAGUUCAGCGUGUUCCGCUUCGGCAGCCUCGGUUUGGUUC
rnacentral:lncRNA from 1 species